rnacentral:antisense_RNA from 1 species
CUUGACGGAGCCGAGCAGCAGCGGCUGGUCGGCGGCCCGGUCCCGGCCGUAGGUGGCCAGCAGCGCGUCCGCCUC